AACCUAGCACACCUGCGGUGUGUACCUGCGGAGGGAUCAUUAAUGAGAAACUGCCCCUCGCGGGUAGAUCUCCCACCCUUUGUAAACUUACCUUUGUUGCUUUGGCAGGCCCGUCUCCGGACCGCCGGCUUCGGCUGGCCAGUGCCUGCCAGAGGAUUCUAAAACUCUGUCUGUCAGUGUUGUCUGAGUCUAUAUACAAUCGUUAAAACUUUCAACAACGGAUCUCAGAUCGGAAGAGCA
rnacentral:misc_RNA from 1 species